AUAAAUGCGUGGAAGGGAAGAAGUAGUAUCAGAGGAAACCUACAGAAAGUCGCCGGUUGAUGAGAGGCGCAGGAGUAUCCUGAUAUGAAUACAUCCCGGAGCGGCCGGCUGAAGAUUACAUAGUAGGUCUGGACGGGAUUGCACUCCGUUAUUGUGCAGGGAUAUAGAGGUAUCCUAUGGAGCCUGUCAUCGUGAGGUGAUAGGAAAUAAAGGUGGUAACACGAUGAUAUCGUCCUUUAU
rnacentral:ncRNA from 1 species